CCUGGGAACUGCAUCUGAUACUGGCAAGCUUGAGUCUCGUAGAGGGGGGUAGAAUUCCAGGUGUAGCGGUGAAAUGCGUAGAGAUCUGGAGGAAUACCGGUGGCGAAGGCGGCCCCCUGGACGAAGACUGACGCUCAGGUGCGAAAGCGUGGGGAGCAAACAGGAUUAGAUACCCUGGUAGUCCACGCCGUAAACGAUGUCGACUUGGAGGUUGUGCCCUUGAGGCGUGGCUUCCGGAGCUAACGCGUUAAGUCGACCGCCUGGGGAGUACGGCCGCAAGGUUAAAACUCAAAUGAAUUGACGGGGGCCCGCACAAGCGGUGGAGCAUGUGGUUUAAUUCGAUGCAACGCGAAGAACCUUACCUGGUCUUGACAUCCACGGAAGUUUUCAGAGAUGAGAAUGUGCCUUCGGGAACCGUGAGACAGGUGCUGCAUGGCUGUCGUCAGCUCGUGUUGUGAAAUGUUGGGUUAAGUCCCGCAACGAGCGCAACCCUUAUCCUUUGUUGCCAGCGGUCCGGCCGGGAACUCAAAGGAGACUGCCAGUGAUAAACUGGAGGAAGGUGGGGAUGACGUCAAGUCAUCAUGGCCCUUACGACCAGGGCUACACACGUGCUACAAUGGCGCAUACAAAGAGAAGCGACCUCGCGAGAGCAAGCGGACCUCAUAAAGUGCGUCGUAGUCCGGAUUGGAGUCUGCAACUCGACUCCAUGAAGUCGGAAUCGCUAGUAAUCGUGGAUCAGAAUGCCACGGUGAAUACGUUCCCGGGCCUUGUACACACCGCCCGUCACACCAUGGGAGUGGGUUGCAAAAGAAGUAGGUAGCUUAACCUUCGGGAGGGCGCUUACCACUUUGUGAUUCAUGACUGGGGUGAAGUCGUAACAAGGUAACCGUAGGGGAACCUGCGGUUGGAUCACCUCCUUACCUUAAAGAAGC
rnacentral:rRNA from 1 species